rnacentral:rRNA from 1 species
UACGUAAGUGACGAGCGUUAUCCGGAUUUACUGGGCAUAAAGCGCGUGUAGGUGGUGUUUUAAGUCAGGUGUUAAAGGCUACAGCUCAACUGUAGUUCGCAUUUGAAACUGAAUCACUAGAGAUUAGGAGAGGGAAGUGGAACUCACAGUGUAGCGGUGAAAUGCGUAGAUAUUGUGAGGAACACCAGUGGCGAAGGCGACUUCCUGGACUAAAUCUGACACUAAGACGCGAAAGCAUGGGGAGCGAACGGG